rnacentral:lncRNA from 10 species
AAAGAUUCCGAGUGAGAAACUCAGAAUGGCUGAGCUUUGAAGUGUAGAUCUCCCAGCAGCCACACUGAUUGUCUACUCAGCUGGGUGAGAUCCGUGUCUGUCUCCCCCACACGGAGAUCCCUCACAGGUGCUGGGGGCUAGGGGAGGCGCAUGAGAGAAAGAGAAAAUCCUGGCUCUGAAGGAGGUGCAAUUUUGUAAAGAGAUCAGUUAAGAAUGGAUUCCAUGAAGAAGAAAAGAGAGAAAAAGAGAAGAGAAGAAGUCACUGCCAGGAUGAUUCACGCUGGGAAUAAGAGGCCAAACCCUGACUACCAGAUUUCCUGAGCGUGGUGCUGGUGAAGUAUUUGUAAACAAAAUAACUACUUCAGAUGGACCAGAAGAGAGAAAGGACUGUUGCAGGUUGCUGAAGACAACCUUGACUGUGUUUUUUAAGAUAAUUGACAAUAGGCUCCCAUGGAAGUCUUCUCUGCAUUUCUGCAAAAAUUUAGGAAACAUUAGGUUUGACACCAUCAUCAUGUUUCACAAGGCAGCAAAAAUCCCAGCCGGCAAAGCUCCAAGUGUGAUGAAGUGGAACAGCAAGGACAGCACGGAAUGACUGAUCAUUUCCGAAUGUCGGCUAGCGAGAGUUUCCAAUGUGGGAGUUUUCCAUUGUUUUUGAAGCAGGAGAAAUAGGGACUGGCUGCUUUGGAAGAAACAUGCUGUGGUGAUGUCGGUAGGGUUUCCUCUUCUUUCUUUUCUACCUGUCCUUUCUGCUCUCAAGUGGUUCCUUGAAGAUAAAAUUAUUUUGUAAUACUUUCAUUUAUUACCAACAAAACUUUUUUAUAUUCAGUAAGUUGAAAUUGUAUAGAACAAUCGAUGUCUGAUUUAUUACUAUUACUGAUGUUCAGGGCACACUGUGGCCACAGGAGAGGUAGCGCCAAUUCUAUAGGAGAAUCAGGCAAAGCUUCCUAGGUGAUGUAACCUUUGAGCUGAGUCUUGACUUAUACACAAGGAUUAGUUGGAUAAAUGGGCAGCAUAGGAGGGAAUGCCCUUCUAGGGAGAAUUAACAUGUUAGAGGAACCCCUGCCUACCAGGCCUCUGGCUUAACACAACAUAACCUGAAUGAUUCCAUCUUGAAGUGAGUAGCGAGACACUCACAAGGUGAAUACUUAUGGUCUGAAAAUAGCCACAUUCUAAGCUGACCAUCAAUUAUAAUUACAGAAUAUUUAUGGUCAUACAGAACAUCUCCCACCAAGUCUGCAGAAUGUCCUAAGAAUACAGCUCACUUUACUUAAGUAAAGUGUUAAUGAGUGUUGCUGAGUUAAUUACUGUUAAUGGGUGGACUUAGGUUGAAGGAUUAGUAGUCAUCUAUGACACCAAUAGCCUCUACCUUUAAAGAGCACAUCUGCAUGUUCCAAGUUUAAAUCUAGCCUCUUGUAGUUUCUAGUAAGUAGAGUCACUAACAAAGGAUGGCGUGCUCCUCCUCCUGUUUUCUGAAGAUGCCCUACUCUGUAAUAGAGUAGUUUCCAAUAAACACAAUUCUUUUACUGUGCUCUGUGACUUGCCUUGAAUUCUUUUCUGCAUGAGAUCCAAGAACCUGCUCUUGGGAUCUGUAUUGGGACCGUUUCUUCGGGCAACAGAGUUAUGAAAGUAUCUGCUAUGUUCAGAAAACUAGAUGCAAUUUAGUAGAGGUUUAAAUACAGUUUGCUCUAUGUGUGUAUGUGUGAGAGACAGACAGAAACACACACACCUGCACAGAAAGACAGAGAGACAGAGAAAUAAGGACAGA